GUGGGAUGCUACUGGCCACCCUAUAGUGGCCAAAAAGCUGAGAAGGCCGCCAUGAACUCCAUCCCCCCGGGACAAGGAUGGCAAUUCCACCCAAAAAUCAGGGUGCUGACAACCUGUGCCACCUUUGCCAAAGCCAGGUCUUGCCUCAACCGAUCGCUGGAGGAAGGCUGCCUUACAGCAGACCUGCAGUCUGAUGUCCAAACAAAAGGUAUUUUGAGGAGGACAGCGAGGAGGAGGCACAACCAAGGCGUAAGGGGAGGAGGCCACCAUCUAUUGACGCCACUCAGCUGGACAGCGAGUGGCAAUUCCCCUCCCUUA